GUCGAAAUAGUUUAAAUGGUUAAAACGUUAUCCUUGUAAGAUUGAAAUAUUGGUUCAAUUCCAGUUUUCGGCU
rnacentral:tRNA from 1 species